ensembl:snRNA U6 U6 spliceosomal RNA
GUGCUCGCUUCGGCAGCACACAUACUAAAAUUGGAACGAUACAGAGAAGAUUAGCAUGGCCCCCGGCUCAAGGAUGACAUGCAAAUUCAUGAAGUGUUCCAUAUUUAA